AUUGAACGCUGGCGGCAGGCCUAACACAUGCAAGUCGAGCGGAUGAAGGGAGCUUGCUCCUGGAUUCAGCGGCGGACGGGUGAGUAAUGCCUAGGAAUCUGCCUGGUAGUGGGGGAUAACGUCCGGAAACGGGCGCUAAUACCGCAUACGUCCUGAGGGAGAAAGUGGGGGAUCUUCGGACCUCACGCUAUCAGAUGAGCCUAGGUCGGAUUAGCUAGUUGGUGGGGUAAAGGCCUACCAAGGCGACGAUCCGUAACUGGUCUGAGAGGAUGAUCAGUCACACUGGAACUGAGACACGGUCCAGACUCCUACGGGAGGCAGCAGUGGGGAAUAUUGGACAAUGGGCGAAAGCCUGAUCCAACCAUGCCGCGUGUGUGAAGAAGGUCUUCGGAUUGUAAAGCACUUUAAGUUGGGAGGAAGGGCAAUAAGUUAAUACCUUGCUGUUUUGACGUUACCAACAGAAUAAGCACCGGCUAACUUCGUG
rnacentral:rRNA from 1 species